AAAUAGAUACCCUGGUAGUCCACGCCGUAAACGAUGAGUGCUAAGUGUUAGGGGGUUUCCGCCCCUUAGUGCUGCAGCUAACGCAUUAAGCACUCCGCCUGGGGAGUACGGCCGCAAGGCUGAAACUCAAAGGAAUUGACGGGGGCCCGCACAAGCGGUGGAGCAUGUGGUUUAAUUCGAAGCAACGCGAAGAACCUUACCAGGUCUUGACAUCUCCUGACCGCCCUGGAGACAGGGUCUUCCCUUCGGGGACAGGAUGACAGGUGGUGCAUGGUUGUCGUCAGCUCGUGUCGUGAGAUGUUGGGUUAAGUCCCGCAACGAGCGUAACCCUUGUCCUUAGUUGCCAGCAUUCAGUUGGGCACUCUAAGGAGACUGCCGGCUAAAAGUCGGAGGAAGGUGGGGAUGACGUCAAAUCAUCAUGCCCCUUAUGACCUGGGCUACACACGUGCUACAAUGGGCGGUACAGAGGGUCGCGAACCCGCAAGGGGGGAGCCAAUCCCAAAAAACCGCUCUCAGUUCGGAUUGCAGGCUGCAACUCG
rnacentral:rRNA from 1 species